ACUACCAAAAAAAAAAGGUUAGCCACGAUUAUUUAGCCCCGAUAACAGAAACCGUGGCCAAAUCAACAAAAAAAUAUGUUGUUCCCCACACAAAACAUAUAGACGCUAAAAUACGUGGCCAAAAAUAGGCGCGCACUAAAUUUCUCUCCCUCCCUUAAUUUUUUUUUCAUUUUGGUCUCUUCUUUUCUAAUUCUAAAUUCCAAGCUAAAAUAUCAGCGCCUCUUCCUUCUUCACUUAAAAUUGGUUGGACUUAUUCACACAAAAUUUGCCUGCUUCAUUGUCUCUUGCUUCGGGUAACAAAUUUUGAGUUCUCAAGUCAAUUUUUGAUGGGUUUUUUAGGGUUUUUGUUUUGUGAAAUAAGGAUGGACGAGCUUUCCACCAUCUUUCUUUUUGAUUUUGGUACUUCGAAAUCUGUUUAUACCCAUAGAAUUUGAUAUCGGAUUUUGUUGUGCAACCCAAUUUGGUUAAUAGGUAUCCAUUGUUUUAUUGAAACAUUUUGAAGAGAUGAUUCUGGUUUCAAUUUGUAUUUGUAUUGGUAGAUUGUUUCAUAUGAGCAGGAAUUUUCAAUCAAUCUGUCAUAUAAGUAUCAAAGCUUCAAAGUUUUAGAGUAGUGGAUUAAUCGUUUUUUAAUGAGACACAUGAAUGGGUUUUGACUUUUGAGUAUGAAUUUGAUAAAGAAAAUAUCCCCCUCCAAUUGAAACUUAUUUUGUUGCUCUUUAUUCAAGUAAAAUUUAAUUUGAAUUUAAUGGUUAAAUGGUGAAUAGUUGAUUCAUCGAGAUAGUAGUAAAUGAGAGUAGUAAGCAGAACUACAUUUAUUUUUAGGUUAUGUCAAGUAGGAAAGAGAAUCUAUGUGAAGAAGUAAACUUGAUUAAAUGAAUAACAUGGAGUAUAGAAUCUCUUGUCAAUCUUUAACAAUUGGUACUCUUUUUCUUAGCAAUAUGUUUUUGUUAUAGUGAAAUUUUUUCCAUUGAAAAUUUAGUGGGAGAUUAAAGAUUGUGGUGCUUUCAAAAUGUCAGAAUUGGUGGACGAACAUGCUUAAGGUUUGUCCUCAUAUAAUAAGCCCUCAUCAAACUAAAGCAUGAAACAUAUAGCUUUUAUCUAUGUAUGUUAUUGUGUUUGUUGUUAUUAGAGAUCAUUUUUCUGAAUAUCGCUUAAGUUUGCAUCGAAAAUUAUAAGCAGAUAGUUGUGUUUUCUGCCAUCUCGUAAUAUUUAGUUUUAUGAGAAGUGUUGUUUAGGCUUGAUACAGUUUCCAACUUCAAUAUGGAGCUUGUGUAGUCAUUUAGGAUCUUAACUUAAUGGCUUCACUAAAUGACAUUCAGUUUAUAAGAAUCUAUUUAUUACUGUUCGAUAGAGAUCGAUGAAGUAUUCUAUUUCCUUAUGUUGCAUUUCAUACAUGGUUUUGAGUUCGUUUUUAUUUUCCACGCAACACAUUUUCUGUUGUUUGGACCUUUCAAAAUGAGAGAAGGGUCACUUGAGGUUACUUGGAGCCAUUUCCUUUUAAUUAGAGUUGUGAUUGCUUGCCAUCUCCUUUUAAUUAGAGUUGUGAUUGCUUUUCAGUUUACCAAAUGAGCUAUCCUCACACUUAGAUGAUUUCACUUGUUUAAGUUGAUCGAUAAUAAAGUCACUAUUUGGAAAUACAUUAUUUCCUUAAAUGUUGGAUUUAUGCCACUUCAACAAUAGUAAACACUAGUAUAUCAUAUACAAACAAUAAAUAGGAAAUCCUCACCGUGUUGCAAACCCCUCGGGUAACACCCUAUUACAGAUCCAUCAAGCAUCCUGCUCAAGUUGCUAAAUGAAAAAUGUAGGAGGUAAGAGAUCCCCUUACAUGGGUCCUUUUAUUCUAAAUAUGUUACGUUAAUUAGAAUGUGUCGAAUUUUGUCACAAGGGACACCUUACAGUGAUAAGGUCACUUCUGUAUUUCUUCCUAACUAAAGAGGUAACCUGUAGGAACCGGCCUAGGUAGCAGUUUUGGCAACACAAUGAGUUCAUCAAUGAAGAAGUGAAAAUAUAAUUUGUUAGUUUGUUUGGCCUCCUUUAUUACAAUUACAUGGCUUUGACAAUUCUCGCAAAUGUUCUCUUCCACACUCCAUACUGGAUGGUCUUUCUCAGUGUUUAUAUUUGCGUUCUUGAACCUGCGUCUGCCUUCAUGAGAUUACAUUGAAAGUGGAUUCUUGGUGUAUGCUGCUUGAUUCUCGAACAUAUUGUGUUGGAUAAGAUUCGGUUCGAAAGCUUGACGGAUAAGAGCAAGCUCGAUGCUCAGCCUGAACUCUUCAUUCGACUUGUUCCUGAUAAGGCCAAUAAGACUCUUUUCAUUAUUGACAGUGGUAUUGGCAUGACCAAAGCAGGGUCGUUGUGUUUAUGGACUUUAGAUUCUAUUCUACAAAUUUAGGAGUGGAGUUUUCUCUGUGGUUGUGUAGAUUUGGUUAACAAUUUGCGUACAAUUGCGAGGUCCGGGACAAAGAAGUUUAUGGAAGCUCUACAAGCUGGGGCUGAUGUGAGCAUGAUUAUUGGUCAAUUUGGUGUGGGUUUCUAUUCCACUUACCUCGUAGCAGAGAAAGUUA